rnacentral:tRNA from 1 species
GCGCGGGGUGGAGCAGCCUGGUAGCUCGUCGGGCUCAUAACCCGAAGGUCGUCGGUUCAAAUCCGGUCCCCCGCA